rnacentral:rRNA from 1 species
AGUGAACGCUGGCGGUAGGCCUAACACAUGCAAGUCGAACGGCAGCACAGUAAGAGCUUGCUCUUACGGGUGGCGAGUGGCGGACGGGUGAGGAAUACAUCGGAAUCUACUUUUUCGUGGGGGAUAACGUAGGGAAACUUACGCUAAUACCGCAUACGACCUACGGGUGAAAGCAGGGGAUCUUCGGACCUUGCGCGAUUGAAUGAGCCGAUGUCGGAUUAGCUAGUUGGCGGGGUAAAGGCCCACCAAGGCGACGAUCCGUAGCUGGUCUGAGAGGAUGAUCAGCCACACUGGAGCUGGGACACGGUCCAGACUCCUACGGGAAGCAGCAGUGGGGAAUAUUGGACAAUGGGCGCAAGCCUGAUCCAGCCAUACCGCGUGGGUGAAGAAGGCCUUCGGGUUGUAAAGCCCUUUUGUUGGGAAAGAAAAGCAGCAGGUUAAUACCCCGCGGUUCUGACGGUACCCAAAGAAUAAGCACCGGCUAACUUCGUG